rnacentral:rRNA from 1 species
UACGAAGGGGGCUAGCGUUGUUCGGAAUUACUGGGCGUAAAGCGCACGUAGGCGGACUAUUAAGUCAGGGGUGAAAUCCUGGAGCUCAACUCCAGAACUGCCUUUGAUACUGAUGGUCUCGAGUCCGGAAGAGGUGAGUGGAAUUCCGAGUGUAGAGGUGAAAUUCGUAGAUAUUCGGAGGAACACCAGUGGCGAAGGCGGCUCACUGGUCCGGUACUGACGCUGAGGUGCGAAAGCGUGGGGAGCAAACAGGAUUAGAUACCCCCGUAGUCC